rnacentral:lncRNA from 1 species
UUGGGAGUCCUGUGAUCCCUUCUGUAUCUUUUAAGAAGUUAUUUUAUGUCUUAUAAUUGCCUCCAGCAUACUCACCAAUCUUGUCUAAGCUGAGCCUUCGGAUACAGAAGCUGAUUUGGAGGUGAUGGAUCAGAACUCCUUGGUUAAUUGUGAUGGUUGAGCUUCACAAUCAGCUUGACUGCGUCUGAAGCCAUAAAAAACGCAGCUCCGUGGUUCUCAAUGAAUAACAUGAGGGUGGAUUAAAAAGAAAGAACCAGUAUUCUUGAAUCUUUGGUGAACUCCAUUGAAAAAAAUCUUUGUGGAUUUGAACCUGGUCUUCAUGAGAUGCUAAUAGGAGGAAAGGAUUGUGUAUUUUGAAGCAGUCAAGUUCUCCAAAAGUCAUGCCUUGCAAGAAAAACACUGCUCCUCUUGCGCAUGAGAGACACAAAAUGAAGCUUGACUUCACAAGCUGUGUUAAUGAGACCUCA